rnacentral:tRNA from 1 species
GCCCGGCUAGCUCAGUCGGUAGACCAUGAGACUCUAAUUCUCAGAGUCGUGGGUUCGAGCCGCACGUUGGGCG